rnacentral:misc_RNA from 1 species
AAAUCAAAUAUUAAAAAAAAAAAACGAUUACUAAGAAAUAUAAUUUGUUAAGUAAUAAUAUAUAUAUUUUUUCUUUUUCUUAUUGUCAAACAUUAGACAGAAAGUCAGGAAAAAGAAACAUAUCUUUUACACAUGAAAUCACAGAAUUACCCUUCUACAGGCUCAAACGACGUUAGAUUCCUGAAAUUCUCCCACGCCUUCUCCCAAACCACCGCCUCAUACUUCUUGCUGGCUUUUCCCUCUUUUACCGCCAAUAUCAGCCGGUAAUUCAUCCCUGAAACCACCUGCUGUUCGCCCUUCACCAGCUUUACCAGCGUCAGAUGGGCGUUCGAUCUCUUAUUAUACUCCUCCACCGCAAACUGCCCGAUCUCUACAACGUGCGGGUCUUUCAAAUUCUUUAUAGGCUGCCAUCCGCCGAGCACAGCGGCGGAAGCGAUGGCAGCAAAGAGGAGAAGGGCGAAAAGGAGGCAAUGGCGUUUCAUUUGUAACCGUCAGUCGGGGGUUUCGAAAAAUGGGGCAAUCUUGUAUGGGAGAGCGUGGAGAGGUAGAUGAAGGUAUUUAUAACGGAUAGUUGUGAGAUGAUUAGACAUUGG